rnacentral:rRNA from 1 species
CACGUAUGCAACCUGGCUUCAACACUGGAAUAACCCGUUGAAAGACGGCCUAAUACCGGAUAAAACAGGGGCCCCGCCUGGGGAUAUUUGUUAAAGAUUCAUCGGUUGAAGAUGGGCACGCGUAUGAUUAGUUAGUUGGUGAGGUAACGGCUCACCAAGGCAUCGAUCAUUAGGGGUUCUGAGAGGAAGGUCCCCCACACUGGUACUGAGACACGGACCAGACUCCUACGGGAGGCAGCAGUGAGGAAUAUUGGUCAAUGGGCGAGAGCCUGAACCAGCCAAGUCGCGUGAAGGAAGACUGCCCUAUGGGUUGUAAACUUCUUUUGUACAGGAAUAAAGUGAGUCGCGUGUGGCUUUUUGUAUGUACUGUACGAAUAAGGAUCGGCUAACUCCGUG